rnacentral:lncRNA from 1 species
CAGCAGAAAAUGCAUCGUUCAGCAGAAAGCGGUUUGCUCUCUUCCACGGUUCUCUCCACCCUGCGUUCCUGCCCUUGCUGCGGUGUUCCUGCUGCUGCCAGCUGUGAUGAAAACGUCUGACCCUUCAACCCAGGUCUUGAUGGAUAAAGAAAAAAUGAAAACGUUUUUACCUUGGAAAUUGAAACAAAUUCAGAAUUCUGCUCUGUGACUUUGAUUAUAAAAGGUUUUAAAUGUUCUCUUUCAAAAAGAAUACGCAUACAUCUGAGUCUGCUCUAUGCACAAGUUCACACGGUGAGUAAAAAAGGUCAAUCUUACAUGGAUUUGAUCAAGGCAGUUCAAAACACUUUUAGGACACUUAAAUCU